rnacentral:rRNA from 1 species
AGAGUUUGAUCAUGGCUCAGGACGAACGCUGGCGGCGUGCCUAACACAUGCAAGUCGAGCGAAUGAAGUUCCUUCGGGAACGGAUUUAGCGGCGGACGGGUGAGUAACACGUGGGCAACCUGCCUCAUAGAGGGGAAUAGCCUUCCGAAAGGGAGAUUAAUACCGCAUAAGAUUGUAGUACCGCAUGGUACAGCAAUUAAAGGAGCAAUCCGCUAUGAGAUGGGCCCGCGGCGCAUUAGCUAGUUGGUGAGGUAACGGCUCACCAAGGCGACGAUGCGUAGCCGACCUGAGAGGGUGAUCGGCCACAUUGGGACUGAGACACGGCCCAGACUCCUACGGGAGGCAGCAGUGGGGAAUAUUGCACAAUGGGGGAAACCCUGAUGCAGCAACGCCGCGUGAGUGAUGACGGCCUUCGGGUUGUAAAGCUCUGUCUUCAGGGACGAUAAUGACGGUACCUGAGGAGGAAGCCACGGCUAACUACGUGCCAGCAGCCGCGGUAAUACGUAGGUGGCGAGCGUUGUCCGGAUUUACUGGGCGUAAAGGGAGCGUAGGCGGAUUUUUAAGUGAGAUGUGAAAUACUCGGGCUUAACCUGAGUGCUGCAUUUCAAACUGGAAGUCUAGAGUGCAGGAGAGGAGAAGGGAAUUCCUAGUGUAGCGGUGAAAUGCGUAGAGAUUAGGAAGAACACCAGUGGCGAAGGCGCUUCUCUGGACUGUAACUGACGCUGAGGCUCGAAAGCGUGGGGAGCAAACAGGAUUAGAUACCCUAGUAGUCCACGCCGUAAACGAUGAAUACUAGGUGUAGGGGUUGU